AGCGGGGUAGAGCAGUCUGGCAGCUCGCGUGGCUCAUAACCACGAGGUCGCCGGUUCGAAUCCGGCCCCCGCAACAA
rnacentral:tRNA from 2 species